UACGUAGGGUGCGAGCGUUGUCCGGAAUUAUUGGGCGUAAAGAGCUCGUAGGCGGUUCGUCGCGUCGGCUGUGAAAACCUGAGGCUCAACCUCAGGCCUGCAGUCGAUACGGGCGGACUUGAGUACUGCAGGGGAGACUGGAAUUCCUGGUGUAGCGGUGAAAUGCGCAGAUAUCAGGAGGAACACCGGUGGCGAAGGCGAGUCUCUGGGCAGUAACUGACGCUGAGGAGCGAAAGCGUGGGGAGCGAACAGG
rnacentral:rRNA from 1 species